rnacentral:rRNA from 1 species
GACGAACCGUGCGAACGUUGUUCGGAAUCACUGGGCUUAAAGGGCGCGUAGGCGGACCACCAAGUCCGGGGUGAAAUCCCGGGGCUCAACCUCGGAAUUGCCUUCAAAACUGGAUAUCUUGAGUUCCGGGAGAGGUGAGUGGAACUCCGAGUGUAGAGGUGAAAUUCGUAGAUAUUCGGAAGAACACCAGUGGCGAAGGCGACUCACUGGCCCGAUACUGACGCUGAGGCGCGAAAGCGUGGGGAGCAAACAGG